rnacentral:rRNA from 1 species
GGUUAAGCGACUAAGCGUACACGGUGGAUGCCCUGGCAGUCAGAGGCGAUGAAGGACGUGCUAAUCUGCGAUAAGCGUCGGUAAGGUGAUAUGAACCGUUAUAACCGGCGAUUUCCGAAUGGGGAAACCCAGUGUGAUUCGUCACACUAUCAUUAACUGAAUCCAUAGGUUAAUGAGGCGAACCGGGGGAACUGAAACAUCUAAGUACCCCGAGGAAAAGAAAUCAACCGAGAUUCCCCCAGUAGCGGCGAGCGAACGGGGAGCAGCCCAGAGCCUGAAUCAGUGUGUGUGUUAGUGGAAGCGUCUGGAAAGGCGUGCGAUACAGGGUGACAGCCCCGUACACAAAAAUGCACAUACUGUGAGCU